rnacentral:rRNA from 1 species
UACGGGGGGAGCAAGCGUUGUUCGGAUUUACUGGGCGUAAAGGGCGCGUAGGCGGUCGUGACAAGUCACUUGUGAAAUCUCCGGGCUUAACUCGGAACGGUCAAGUGAUACUGUCGGACUAGAGUACAGAAGGGGCAACUGGAAUUCUCGGUGUAGCGGUGAAAUGCGUAGAUAUCGAGAGGAACACCUGCGGCGAAGGCGGCCUUCUGGACAGCCACUGACGCUGAGACGCGAAAGCGUGGGGAGCAAACAGGAUUGAGAUACCUUCGUAGUCAG